CAGAACCACGCGCUGUCUGUGUGGUUUCACUGUUACAAGUUUCUUGGCGACAUGGGGGAAAGUUCCUCACAUACCAACGGAAAAUGGGCUUCACAUACAUGCUGCUGUCUCAUAAUAUGGCGAAGACGAGUCACUUGAAGGCCUAACAGCUCUUAUGAGGAGCAGUCUUGCCAUAGAAGACUGAAAGAAUGAGCUGUAGAAACAACAGGGUGCCUGCUGCAGUAUGACGAGGACGCCCUGAUCAUAGAAGGUCCAGUGUCUUG